rfam:Ramlibacter tataouinensis strain 5-10, complete genome.
CGGGGACACGAGCAGGCUCCCCGCUUCAAGACGCCGCCGCGUCCAAGUUCUGC